rnacentral:misc_RNA from 1 species
GGACAUUUGUUCACUGUUAAUUAUGCAGGAGCAUAGUUGAUUUUACCACCUCCCCCAGAGCUUACAGGUGGUGGUUGUGGCUUGUUUGCUAAUUUUAUUACUACCCUUGUGGACUGGACUGCAGCUGCUCCCUCUUCCUGCAUUAUUAAUUAUUCAACACAAUUAACACAUUUGUAUGUACACAUAUAUAAGAUAGAAAAGAGAGAAAGAGGGUAAAUUGAUUUUCAUUCCUCUUUCUGGCUCAUCAUGAGAAGGAAUUAGAUGAGCAGCUUCUUCAUCUCCUGUUGUUGAUGAGUCUGAGUCAUAGCCCAAGCACUUGAGGAUGGAGUUUAUAAGCUUUUGACAGAAACAGCAGGGGCUGUACAUAUUAUUUUGUCUUUCUUCUCUUCUUCUCUGCUCCUCUAUUGUUGAACUUUCCAUAGCUCUCUACUUCCUUUGCCUGUUCUCUAAGUUGGUAGCUAUUGCAACUUCUGCCAUUUUUUUCUUCAAUUGCUUCCCAAGAGACACCUGCACAUGAGACAGUGGGCCUUGGAUUGAGC